rnacentral:rRNA from 1 species
AUUGAACGCUGGCGGCAGGCUUAACACAUGCAAGUCGAGCGAGCGGCGGACAGGUGAGUAAUGUCUGGGAAACUGCCUGAUGGAGGGGGAUAACUACUGGAAACGGUAGCUAAUACCGCAUACCAUCAGAUGUUCCCAGAUGGGAUUAGCUAGUAGGUGGGGUAACGGCUCACCUAGGCGACGAUCCCUAGCUGGUCUGAGAGGAUGACCAGCAAAACUGGAACGGAGACACGGUCCAGACUCCUCAGGGAGGCAGAAGUGGGGAAUAUUGAACAAGGGGCGAAAGCCUGAUGCAGCCAUGCCGCGUGUGUGAAGAAGGCCUUCGGGUUGUAAAGCACGUUCAGCGAGGAGGCGUUACUCGCAGAAGAAGCACCGGCUAACUCCGUGCCAGCAGCCGCGGUAAUAC